CCUGGGCGCUUGGGCUGGUGCUGGCUGGCCUGCGAGUUGGGCUGGGCCGCGUGCGGGGGCAAGCAGGCCGGGAGGGGUUCAGCUGGCUGCGGGGUUCUUUCCCCUUUCUUCUCUUUUUUUUUUCUAUUUUAUUUUUCAAAGCCCUUUUCAAAUAGAAUUUUGAACACAAUUAACUUCAAUCCAAAAUCUCACAGCACAAAUAAAAAUAUGCCCCAGCAUGAAUGCAAAUUCAUGUUUCUAAACUUAUGAUGAAUUUUAAUUUGCACAAAAUUAUUUAUUUGCUAGAUUCAAAUGCUCACAAAAAUACUUAAAUAAAUCAAUUUAAUUCCUAUAACUUGAAAACCAGAUUUUGGGUGUUACAACAUCUUGAUUUAAUUAUAUGCUGAGUUCCUUUGGAUCCAUGGCUCGAUUAGACAACAUAUGUAUGAGCUGUUUUUCACUCCUAUGAGCUCCACUUAAAUAUUCCAUUAGCUAUAGGUAAGUGACAUUUUGGUAAGGAUCUACAAAUACCACAUAUAGAGAGACUUGAGAGAAUCGUUGCUGGGAACUCUGAGUUUUAUUUUGAAAACUUAUGAAAAACUCUGGAACAUAGGUGAAGUAUAGACAGGAGGAAUAGUGCUUGACUUAAUUAUUUUGUCUUUCAAUUACUUAAGACUUAAGUGCAGGUACUA
rnacentral:lncRNA from 1 species